CAGCAGCCGCAGUAAUACGCAGGUGGCGAGCGUUGCCCGGAAUUACUGGGCGUAAAGGGUGCGUAGGCGGCCGGACAAGUCAUAGGUUAAAGCCCGGAGCUCAACUCCGGAAAGGCCUAUGAUACUGUCUGGCUUGAGGGCCGGAGAGGCUGGCGGAAUUCCCGGUGUAGGGGUGAAAUCCGUAGAUAUCGGGAGGAACACCGGUGGGGAAGCCGGCCAGCUGGACGGUUCCUGACGCUGAGGCACGAAAGCGUGGGGAGCAAACCGGAUUAGAUACCCGGGUAGUCCACGCCGUAAACGAUGGGCGCUAGGUGUGGGGGUGAAAGCCUCUGUGCCGUAGCUAACGCGUUAAGCGCCCCGCCUGGGGAGUACGGCCGCAAGGCUGAAACUUAAAGGAAUUGGCGGG
rnacentral:rRNA from 1 species